rnacentral:rRNA from 1 species
AAUCUGCCUUUAGGACGGGGACAACAGUUGGAAACGGCUGCUAAAACCCGAUGUGCCCUUCGGGGUGAAAUAUUUAUAGCCUGAAGAUGAGCUCGCGUCUGAUUAGCUAGUAGGUGAGGUAAAGGCUCACCUAGGCGACGAUCAGUAACUGGUCUGAGAGGAUGACCAGUCACACUGGGACUGAGACACGGCCCAGACUCCUACGGGAGGCAGCAGUGGGGAAUUUUCCGCAAUGGGCGCAAGCCUGACGGAGCAAUACCGCGUGAGG